GAUUGAACGCUGGAGGCAGGCCUAACACAUGCAAGUCGAACGGUAACAGCAGAGCUUGCUCUGGCUGACGAGUGGCGGACGGGUGAGUAACGCGUAGGAAUCUACCCAGUAGUGGGGGACAACUUGGGGAAACUCAAGCUCUAAUACCGCAUACGCCCUGCGGGGGAAAGCGGGGGACCUUCGGGCCUCGUGCUAUUGGAUGAGCCUGCGUUAGAUUAGCUAGUUGGUGGGGUAAUGGCCCACCAACGCGACGAUCUAUAGCUGGUCUGAGAGGACGAUCAGCCACACUGGAACUGAGACACGGUCCAGACUCCCUACGGGAGGCAGCAGUGGGGAAUAUUGCACAAUGGGCGCAAGCCUGAUGCAGCAAUGCCGCGUGUGUGAAGAAGGCCUUAGGGUUGUAAAGCACUUUCAGACGUUGGGAGGAAAGCUUAAGGCUAAUAACCUUGAGUCUUGAGUUACCAACAGAAUAAGCACCGACUAAUUCAGUGCCAGCAGCCGCGGUAAUACUUAGGGUGCAAGCGUUAAUCGGAAUUACUGGGCGUAAAGCGCGCGGAGGCGGCCUGUUAAGUUGGAUGUGAAAGCCCUGGGCUCAACCUAGGAACUGCAUUCAAAACUGUCAGGCUAGAGUAUGGUAGGGGGGUAGAAUUUCUAGUGUAGCGGUGAAAUGCGUAGAUAUUAGAAGGAAUACCAGUGGCGAAGGCGGCCCCCUGGCCUGAUACUGACGCUGAGGUGCGAAAGCGUGGGGAGCAAACAGGAUUAGAUACCCUGGUAGUCCACGCCGUAAACGAUGUCAACUAGCCGUUGGGAGACUUGAUCUUUUAGUGGCGCAGCUAACGCACUAAGUUGACCGCCUGGGGAGUACGGCCGCAAGGUUAAAACUCAAAUGAAUUGACGGGGGCCCGCACAAGCGGUGGAGCAUGUGGUUUAAUUCGAUGCAACGCGAAGAACCUUACCAGGUCUUGACAUCCAGAGAACUUUCUAGAGAUAGAUUGGUGCCUUCGGGAACGCAGAGACAGGUGCUGCAUGGCUGUCUUCAGCUCGUUUCUUUAGAUGUUGGGUUAAGUCCCGCAACGAGCGCAACCCUUGUCCCUAGUUGCCAGCACUUCGGGUGGGAACUCUAGGGAGACUGCCGGUGACAAACCGGAGGAAGGUGGGGACGACGUCAAGUCAUCAUGGCCCUUAUGGGCUGGGCUACACACGUGCUACAAUGGCGAAUACAGAGGGCUGCAAACCAGCAAUGGUAAGCCAAUCCCUUAAAGCUCGUCGUAGUCCGGAUCGGAGUCUGCAACUCGACUCCGUGAAGUCGGAAUCGCUAGUAAUCGCGAAUCAGAAUGUCGAGGUGAAUACGUUCCCGGGUCUUGUACACACCG
rnacentral:rRNA from 1 species